GUGUCAGCAGCCGCGGUAAUACGUAGGUGGCAAGCGUUGUCCGGAAUUACUGGGUGUAAAGGGCGUGUAGGCGGGAGACUAAGUCAGAUGUGAAAUUCCGAAGCUCAACUUCGGGGCUGCAUCUGAAACUGGACUUCUUGAGUGCUGGAGAGGAAAGCGGAAUUCCUAGUGUAGCGGUGAAAUGCGUAGAUAUUAGGAGGAACACCAGUGGCGAAGGCGGCUUUCUGGACAGUAACUGACGCUGAGGCGCGAAAGCGUGGGGAGCAAACAGGAUUAGAUACCCUGGUAGUCCACGCCGUAAACGAUGGAUACUAGGUGUAGGAGGUAUCGACCCCUUCUGUGCCGGAGUUAACACAAUAAGUAUCCCACCUGGGGAGUACGGCCGCAAGGUUGAA
rnacentral:rRNA from 1 species